rnacentral:rRNA from 1 species
CCCGCGGCGCAUUAGCUAGUUGGUGGGGUAAAGGCUUACCAAGGCAAUGAUGCGUAGCCGAACUGAGAGGUUGAUCGGCCACAUUGGGACUGAGACACGGCCCAAACUCCUACGGGAGGCAGCAGUAGGGAAUCUUCCACAAUGGGCGAAAGCCUGAUGGAGCAACGCCGCGUGGGUGAAGAAGGUCGUCGGAUAAAAAAACCCUGUUGUUAGAGAAGAAAGUGCGUGAGAGUAACUGUUCACGUUUCGACGGUAUCUAACCAGAAAGCCACGGCUAACUACGUGCCAGCAGCCGCGGUAAUACGUAGGUGGCAAGCGUUAUCCGGAUUUAUUGGGCGUAAAGGGAACGCAGGCGGUCUUUUAAGUCUGAUGUGAAAGCCUUCGGCUUAACCGGAGUAGUGCAUUGGAAACUGGGAGACUUGAGUGCAGAAGAGGAGAGUGGAACUCCAUGUGUAGCGGUGAAAUGCGUAGAUCUCUGGGAGAACACCUGUGGCGNGNGCGGCUCUCUGGUCUGUNNCUGNCGCUGNGGUUCGNAGGCGUGGGUGGCCCCUAAAAGGGGNUCCCCUGGUGGUCCCCGCCGUAAACGAGAAAUGCUAAGGGUUGGAGGGUUUCCGCCCUUCCGGGCGGCAGCUAACGCAAUAAGCAUUCCGCCUGGGGGAGUACGACCGCAAGGUUGAAACUCAAAGGAAUUGACGGGGGCCCGCACAAGCGGUGGAGCAUGUGGUUUAAUUCGAAGCAACGCGAAGAACCUUACCAGGUCUUGACAUCUUUUGCCAAUCCUAGAGAUAGGACUUUCCCUUCGGGGACAAAAUGACAGGUGGUGCAUGGUUGUCGUCAGCUCGUGUCGUGAGAUGUUGGGUUAAGUCCCGCAACGAGCGCAACCCUUAUUGUUAGUUGCCAGCAUUAAGUUGGGCACUCUAGCAAGACUGCCGGUGACAAACCGGAGGAAGGUGGGGAUGACGUCAAAUCAUCAUGCCCCUUAUGACCUGGGCUACACACGUGCUACAAUGGACGGUACAACGAGUCGCAAGACCGCGAGGUUUAGCAAAUCUCUUAAAGCCGGUCUCAGUUCGGAUUGUAGGCUGCAACUCGCCUACAUGAAGUCGGAAUCGCUAGUAAUCG